rnacentral:rRNA from 1 species
GGUGGAGCGAUCUGUCUGGUUAAUUCCGAUAACGAACGAGACUCUCCUCUGCUAAAUAGUCGGCUGGAUCUUGAAUUGCUGAGUUGCUCAUCGCCGUUCGCGGGUCGACGUAGUAUCUUUCCCCGUGGCUUGCUGCGUGGGUUGGGGCUGCGCCGUGCUUGUGGGCGUGUGUGUGGCACUCCAAGUCCGUCGGCUCACACCCGAGAUUGCGGGUUGUGUGGUACAAGUUCUUCUUAGAGAGAUUGACGGCUCUGAAGCCGUACGAGAAUGAGAGCAAUAACAGGUCUGUGAUGCCCUCAGAUGCCCUGGGCCGCACGCGCGCUACAAUGCUGGACACAGCAGGUCUAGCCUGCUCCGAGAGGAGCGGGUAACCCUGUCAAAGUCCUGAGUCGUGAUUCGGGUAUCACUCUCGUGAUGCAUUGGGCGUGCUUGGGCCUGGGGCUUGCAAUUGUUUCCCACAAACAAGGAAUGCCUUGUAGUUGUGAGUCACUGAGCUCGCAGUGACUCAGUCCCUGCCCUUUGUACACACCGCCCGUCGCUACUACCGAUUGGGUGUACCAGUGAGAGCCUUGGACUGGCGUCCGGUGCCUCGCGCACCUGGGUCUGACGGAAAGAGGUUCGAACUGGUGCACUUAGAGGAAGUAAAAGUCGUAACAAGGUUUCCGUAGGUGAACCUGCGGAAGGAUCAUUA